AUUGAACGCUAACGGCGUGCUUAACACAUGCAAGUCGAGCGGCAGCAUGACUGUAGCAAUACAGUUGAUGGCGAGCGGCGGACGGGUGAGUAAUGCAUAGGAAUCUGCCUUGUAGUGGGGGAUAACCAGGGGAAACUCGGGCUAAUACCGCAUAAUCUCUACGGAGCAAAGUGGGGGACCUUCGGGCCCUACGCUAAAAGAUGAGCAUAUGUUGGAUUAGCUAGUUGGCAGGGUAAAAGCCUACCAAGGCAACGAUCCAUAGCUGGUCUGAGAGGAUGAUCAGCCACACUGGGACUGAGACACGGCCCAGACUCCUACGGGAGGCAGCAGUGGGGAAUAUUGGACAAUGGGCGAAAGCCUGAUCCAGCAACGCCGUGUGUGUGAAGAAGGCCUUCGGGUUGUAAAGCACUUUUAGUGGGAAAGAAAAGUUCAUGGCUAAUAUCCAUGAAUGCUGACGUUACCCACAGAAAAAGCACUGGCUAACUCUGUGCCAGCAGCCGCCGCGG
rnacentral:rRNA from 1 species